rnacentral:ribozyme from 14 species
GAAGAAGAAGGAGGAGGAGGAAUUAAUUAAUUCGUUCGUUCGUUUUCUUCUCUAGAGAGUUUCUUUCUUUUUUUUCUAUUUUAUUUUCCUUUC